rnacentral:rRNA from 1 species
UACGUAGGGAGCAAGCGUUGUUCGGAUUUACUGGGCGUAAAGGGCGCGUAGGCGGCAGAUUAAGUCAGCUGUGAAAUCUCCGAGCUUAACUCGGAACUGUCAGCUGAUACUGUUUUGCUAGAGUGCGGAAGGGGCAAUCGGAAUUCUUGGUGUAGCGGUGAAAUGCGUAGAUAUCAAGAGGAACACCUGAGGUGAAGACGGGUUGCUGGGCUGACACUGACGCUGAGGCGCGAAAGCUAGGGGAGCGAACAGG